GACGAACGCUGGCGGCGUGCCUAAUACAUGCAAGUCGAGCGGAUGGAAGGAAGCUUGCUUCCUAAAGUCAGCGGCGGACGGGUGAGUAACACGUGGGCAACCUGCCCCUAAGAUCGGGAUAACUUCGGGAAACCGGAGCUAAUACCGGAUAUGAUUAUGUCUUACAUGAGACAUAAUGGAAAGACGGUUUCGGCUGUCACUUAGGGAUGGGCCCGCGGCGCAUUAGCUAGUUGGUGAGGUAACGGCUCACCAAGGCGACGAUGCGUAGUCGACCUGAGAGGGUGAUCGGCCACACUGGGACUGAGACACGGCCCAGACUCCUACGGGAGGCAGCAGUAGGGAAUCUUCCGCAAUGGACGAAAGUCUGACGGAGCAACGCCGCGUGAGUGAAGAAGGUUUUCGGAUCGUAAAACUCUGUUGUUAGGGAAGAACAAGUACCAUAGUAACUGAUGGUACCUUGACGGUACCUAACCAGAAAGCCACGGCUAACUACGUGCCAGCCGCCGCGGUAA
rnacentral:rRNA from 1 species